AGUUUGACAUUUUUUUCUUGAAAGGUACCUAAGUUUUACAUUUUAGCCAAACAUGUUUUACUAUUAUGAAGAAAUAAAGAUCCUGGUCCUGUAUUUGUUUGGAAUUCGCUGUGUAGAUGCUCUCUUUUCCUUUCUGCGAUGUCACCUAUACCUGUUUUGGGUUGGAUGAAUAAUAUUUUAUUUAAGUCAUUCUUCUUAAUUAAAAUUCAACCUAAUGUUAGAAACACUUGGUGUUUCUAUAUAAUUUUAAUGUCUUCUUUAUUCUUCUUAUGGCUAAAAGGACAUUUCACGUAUUCCUGCUUAGUUCCACUUAACCUGAAACUUGACUCCAAAAUUCUCGUCUAAAGUUUUGAAUUAGAAUUUAAGCACUCAUAAUAUUAUAAGCCAAUACUAUUAACUUAUGUUGUGUAGCAUGUCUCAUCAUUUAUAAACUUAUAAUCCUUGUAUAGUUACCUAUAUAUCUACUGAGUUAGGAUGGUCUUUCACUGACUUUCAAAAGUUAUUAAGUAAAUAUCUCUCCUGAAACAUAUAUUUGCCACCACAUCACGAGUCAUCCUAAUGUUCAAAAUAGUUCAACAUUCUUCAUUUCAAUACUGAAGUCAAUAUUGGUUUGGUUGAAAUUAAAAGGAUAUUAGAUUAUAUUAGUUAGAAUAAUAUUAGGAGUUAGCUUGUGUGCUCCAAGAACAGAAAUAGUUAAGGCAACAAAGCAACAACCUUGGGAAGACAUGGAUGAUUGUUUCAAUCAAUCCCCAUUCAAGAUAGAUCAUGACAUGAAGUGAAUGUCAUAGUUUGUAAGAAUAUUUUCAAAUUGCUAGUUGUUUAUAACUAUUAUUUAGGUACAAUCGUAUGAACCGGUUAUGUUUGAGGCUCUAUUCUUUAGGAUGUAUCUUUAUGUUAUACAUUUGAAUAUAUGUUGUUUGGACUAAUCCCUUGUCAAUUUUGGUGUGUGAUUACAUUUAUUAUUAUUAUUAUUAUUAUUAUUAUU
rnacentral:lncRNA from 1 species